rnacentral:rRNA from 1 species
AUACGGCCACAUCACGUUGAAACAUCGGUUCCCGUACGAUCACCGAAGUUAAGCAACGUCGAGCCUAAUCAGUACCUAGAUGGGAGACAGCUUGUG